rnacentral:rRNA from 1 species
UACGGAGGCUGCAAGCGUUAUCCGGAAUGAUUGGGCGUAAAGCGUCCGCAGGUGGCUAUGUAAGUCUGCUGUUAAAGAGUGAGGCUCAACCUCAUAAGAGCAGUGGAAACUACAUGGCUAGAGUGCGUUCGGGGCAGAGGGAAUUCCUGGUGUAGCGGUGAAAUGCGUAGAUAUCAGGAAGAACACCGGUGGCGAAAGCGCUCUGCUAGGCCGCAACUGACACUGAGGGACGAAAGCUAGGGGAGCGAAUGGG